rnacentral:rRNA from 1 species
UUGGGUAGUAUUAGUUAUGUUCUUGAAACUUAAAAAAUUUGGCGGUAUUUUAGUCUAUUUAGAGGAACCUGUGCUAUAAUCGAUAGUCCACGAUGGACCUUACUUAAUUUUGUUUUUCAGUUUGUAUACCGCCGUUAUUUGAAUAUUUUUUUAGAAUAAUAAUUUUCAAUAUUUUUUAUUAAAAAUUAAAUCAGGUCAAGGUGCAGUUUAUGAUUAAGUAGUUAUGGGUUACAAUAAAUUUAUUUAUACGGAAUUAGUUUUUAAAUAGGCUUAUUAAGGUGGAUUUAAUAGUAAAAUUUUAUAGAUUAUAAAUUUGAUUUUAGCUCUAAAAUAUGUACACAUCGCCCGUCGCUCUUAUUAUUUAAUAUAAGAUAAGUCGUAACAUAGUAGAUGUACUGGAAAGUGUAUCUAGAAUGACAAUUUGUAGCUUAUUAGUAAAGUAUUUCAUUUACAUUGAGAGGAUUAUUGUGCAAUUCAAUAUAAAUUGAUAUUUAAUAAUUAUUUAUUUUAUUUUUGUUGAUUUUUUUUAUUAAAAAUAUUUAUAAUUUUUUAGUAUGAUUAUAGAAGAAAUAAUUUUAAUUAUAGUUUAUUAGUAUUGUGAAAGAAUUU